GCUGGGCGCAGUGGCGCAUGCCUGUAGUCCCAGCUACUCGGGAGGCUGAGGUGGGAGGAUCACUUGAGGCCAGGAGUUCUGGGCUGUAGUGCGCUAUGCCGAUCGGGUGUCCGCACUAAGUUUGGCAUCAAUAUGGUGACCUCCCGGGAGCAGGGGACCACCAGGUUGCCUAAGGAGGGGUGAACCGGCCCAGGUCGGAAACGGAGCAGGUCAAACCUUGUGUGCUGAUCAGUAGUGGGAUCACGCCUGUGAAUAGCCACUGCACUCCAGCCUGGGCAACAUAGCGAGACCCUGUCUCU
rnacentral:SRP_RNA from 1 species